GAAAUCUAUAAAUUAACGCUCCCGUCCGAUGAAAUAAGAUCUCGUUAACGAAUCCAUAAAUCAUCCUCAUCCUCAUCAUCUUCUCACCCAAAGCGGCUUCUUCUUCUUGUUCUUUUUCUUGUUCUUCUUCGUUUCACCUCCAGUACCCUUCUCCUCUGUUCGGCGUCAGCAACGUCUCCAGUUCAGGUCAUCUCUGCCUCCUUCUAUUCAAAGCAUCUUCGCUAGCCACGAGAUCGUGACCAAGUAUAUGGGUGUGAUUUGGGAGAGUUUUACAAACAAGAAGACGAAAGUACCGUCCAGAACCCACGAGAUUGCCCGGAGACGAUGGUCGUGGCGGCCGGGUUCGACCCGUUAAAGGAAAAGAGAGAUCGAGAUGUUCCUUGCGUGAGGCUCCAACAGAUUAAGGACUUCCACUAAGAUUUCUCAAGGUUAGUGCUUUCUUUUUCUCCAAGUUUAUGUUUUGUAGCGAGAGUUGCGAAUUUUUAGUGAUGAUCGCAUUUGGAAGAUAGGCUUUACUGCUGGUUCGUACUUGUAUUACUGAAAUAGCUAGAGACUUUAAAAAUAUAUAUAUUUAUACACAUGAAUUUUAAAUCACUUUUUUUUUGUACAAAUCCU